UUAAGAUUUAUGGGGCAAAAAGAUACGUUUAUUUAGUAUGGGGUCCGAAAUACAAAAAACAAAACAAAUCCCAAAUUUCUCAAAAACAAUGGGCGUUGUUUUGAGUUUCCAAUUUUAACAAAAUGCACAUUGUUUUAUGUUUUCGGCAUUGGAAACGUUGUUGAAACAAACAUUUUCCUUCUCUUCAAACUGCAAUUAAAAAGCCCAUGAAACGACGUCAUUUAGUAAAGAGAUCUCUUCUGAAGUCGUCAGCACCAGAUCUAUCCUCUUCCAAUUUUCACAGACAAAUUCAAAAGCAUCAAUGGCCCUGGAGAUUAUUGGUCGUCACACUCUCUUUUUCGAUGGCUACCUUUGUAAACUCCCCGACGGCGCUGGUUAAUUGGAACAGCCACCGGUACGAUGUUCUUCACCUCCUCUCUUCGCUUCCACCUCCGCGUAUGAAGCGCGGCCGUUUGGUUUCAGAUGACCCCGACUUGAAAUCGGACCUCAAUCAUGUGCGCUAACUUGAUUUACCGGCGGAAUCUCUAUCUCUUUCGCAUGAUGAGAGAGAUAGAGAAAGGAAGCUCAGACAUCACAUGGCGCCAUCGCAGGAAUAGAAGAGACGGUCUGCGAUUCUUCAAUUGAGAUUAGGGUUAGAGCGAGAACCACAUCUAUCUGGGCCGGAUGAAGAAAGCACAUCUCGACGUGCGUCUAAAUGAAACGUCGAGUUUCAUUAAUCGGCGACACGUGUCGCGAUGAGGAGCGACGACUUAUCUAGCUGGCGGGUGACGUGGAGGCACCAGGAUUGAGAGAACUGUACUUUAUAUAUAUAGAUAGAUAGAUAGAUAGAUUCAGAACGUAGCAUCGACCAACUCCCAGUCUUAAUAAAAUAUUUAGGGGGUAUUAGUGAGAGUGAGAUUUAUAUAGAGUUUGUUAAUUUGAAAGUUGAUAGAUUUUUUAAAUUCGAAAAGAGUUAUAAAGAUUUUUGUAUAA